NNNNUACUCCCUCCGUCCCAAAAUUCUUGUCUUAGAUUUGUUUAGAUACGGAUGAAUCUAAUACUAAAACGUGACUUGAUACAUCCGUAUUUAGACAAAUCUAAGACAAGAAUUUUGAGACGGAGGGAGUAUAUG
rnacentral:pre_miRNA from 1 species